rnacentral:rRNA from 1 species
ACGCUGGCGGCGUGCCUAAUACAUGCAAGUAGAACGCUGAAGGAGGAGCUUGCUUCUCUGGAUGAGUUGCGAACGGGUGAGUAACGCGUAGGUAACCUGCCUGGUAGCGGGGGAUAACUAUUGGAAACGAUAGCUAAUACCGCAUAAUAGUAGAUGUUGCAUGACAUUUGCUUAAAAGAUGCAAUUGCAUCACUACCAGAUGGACCUGCGUUGUAUUAGCUAGUUGGUGGGGUAACGGCUCACCAAGGCGACGAUACAUAGCCGACCUGAGAGGGUGAUCGGCCACACUGGGACUGAGACACGGCCCAGACUCCUACGGGAGGCAGUAGUAGGGAAUCUUCGGCAAUGGACGAAGGUCUGACCGAGCAACGCCGCGUGAGUGAAGAAGGUUUUCGGAUCGUAAAGCUCUGUUGUAAGAGAAGAACGAGUGUGAGAGUGGAAAGUUCACACUGUGACGGUAUCUUACCAGAAAGGGACGGCUAACUACGUGCCAGCAGCCGCGGUAAUACGUAGGUCCCGAGCGUUGUCCGGAUUUAUUGGGCGUAAAGCGAGCGCAGGCGGUUAGAUAAGUCUGAAGUUAAAGGCUGUGGCUUAACCAUAGUACGCUUUGGAAACUGUUUAACUUGAGUGCAAGAGGGGAGAGUGGAAUUCCAUGUGUAGCGGUGAAAUGCGUAGAUAUAUGGAAGAACACCGGUGGCGAAAGCGGCUCUCUGGCUUGUAACUGACGCUGAGGCUCGAAAGCGUGGGGAGCAAACAGGAUUAAAUACCCUGGUAGUCCACGCCGUAAACGAUGAGUGCUAGGUGUUAGACCCUUUCCGGGGUUUAGUGCCGCAGCUAACGCAUUAAGCACUCCGCCUGGGGAGUACGACCGCAAGGUUGAAACUCAAAGGAAUUGACGGGGGCCCGCACAAGCGGUG